rnacentral:rRNA from 1 species
UACGUAGGGGGCAAGCGUUGUCCGGAAUUAUUGGGCGUAAAGCGCGCGCAGGCGGCCGAUUAAGUCUGGUGUUUAAGCCCGGGGCUCAACCCCGGUUCGCACCGGAAACUGGUGGGCUUGAGUGCAGGAGAGGGAAGCGGAAUUCCAUGUGUAGCGGUGAAAUGCGUAGAGAUAUGGAGGAACACCAGUGGCGAAGGCGGCUUCCUGGCCUGUAACUGACGCUGAGGCGCGAAAGCGUGGGGAGCAAACAGGAUUAGAUACCCUGGUAGUCCACGCCGUAAACGAUGAGUGCUAGGUGUCAGGGGUUUCGAUACCCUUGGUGCCGAAGUCAACACAGUAAGCACUCCGCCUGGGGAGUACGGUCGCAAGACUGAA